rnacentral:tRNA from 1 species
CGCGGCCUUGGCGCGGUAUUGCGGGUCGUCCUCGAACAGCGUCGGGUAAUGGUGCGAGACCAUGCCCGCGC